UAAAAAUGACUUCGUUUUCCUCCUCUCUUAGCACGCUGUCUUCUUCUUUGCCUAUGAUACUCUGAGAAUUUGUCGAGAUCGAGAUCUGAGUUUUCUCAUCUGAGUUUAUCCGUAGAAGCAGAAAGGCCAUCGCAGGACUCGUAGUGACUCGUAGUGAUUUGUCGAGAUCGACCCGUCACGCCAUCUCCAAAGCCCUUUGCUGAAAACGGAGAUUCUCUCCACCAUCAGAUACAAAAAGGAGUUUAAGAACUUUGCUGCUUCUUAGUGACUUGUAACUUGUAAGUGCCUUAAUUUCGUGCUUUUGCUUUUUUAGAAGUCACACACACUAUCGAUUUUGCUUUUGUAGGAGAUUUUUAUUUUCUCUUAGUCUAGAGACAGUUUUGUUUGUUCGCCACUGUGCCUUGAGCCCUUGAGCUUGUUCUUUCAAUGUGCUUUGUCUGCAAAUCUGAUGGGGUCGAUUAUAAAGGCGUGGGGUUGCUUUCUAAUAUUGAUUGCCAAUCUAGAAUUCUCCCUGCAUACAUGUAGUAUUGACCUUGUUGUGAUAAAAAUUGAAUCAGCCUGUUUAAAGUUUUGAGCUUUUAGUUUUCCACUUUCUAAGUUCUGUUUUUUUCUGAGAUAAUUUGGACUGUGAUUGGUUUAUUGAUCUAGAAAAGAGUAAAUUUAUAAGACUGAUUCUUUGAAAGUGUGCUGAGGUCAAAGAGAUUUUAUCAUGGACUGUUUGUUAUUUUGGCUUACGUGUUCUUGUCACUGCAGUUCUUAAAGCAGCUGCAACGUCUGCUUAUUUUGUAACUUGCUUCAUUGGCUCGUUGCUAAAUCUCUAAUUCAGUUGACAGGAUUAUUGCAUAUCUUUUUUCUACAUUCAGUCUUUAGACUUUAGCUUCAGUAGUAUUACUUCUCUUCGAUUUCCUUAAAACAGAAACUAUGAUUCUUUUAUUUUCAAAAGUUCCCUGCUUUCUGUUUUGUAUUUUGCUCUCCGUUUUUUUAUGUUUUUUUGAAAACUCACACACACGUAUCAGAUCUCUUAUCUCUUAUGUUUUUUUGUGCUGUAGAAUGGAUUCUCAAACACUUGAGACAAUGGCAGCUCUUAAUGCUGAGAAUGAGUACAUGGAAAUUAAUGAGGAUGAAACAGAGACUCCAGCUGCAACACACAGUGAAACACAACCUACUCAACCAGUUCAAAAGGUACCAAACUCUAAUAAACGCCAGAAAUCUAAGGUUUGGAAUGAGUUUGUGUCAGUUGGAGUAGAGGAAGAUGGUAAACAUAGGAGUAGAUGCAUCCACUGUAGUAAGAAGUUAGUAACGGAAUCUACUCAGGGAACUUCAGCUAUGAAUCGCCAUUUAAAAUGUUGUCCAAUGAGGCCUCCAGAAAAUGAAGAAAAUCAAUAUGAUCAUAAGAUAGACCGUGCUAUGAUUAGUGAGAUUAUUAUCUAUCAUGAUCAGCCUUUCCGAUAUGUUGAAUAUGAAAAGUUUAGAGCUAGAGCUAAGUAUUUGAACCCCAAAGUUCGACAUAUAUGCCGACAAACAGCUGCAUCUGAUGUCUACAAGAGAUAUGGAAUUGAAAAGGAAUUGUUGAAAAAGAUAUUUGCAGAGCACAAAGGCAGAGUGAGUUUUACAUCAGAUAUGUGGACAGCUCGUUACACUAUGAUGAGCUACAUCUGUUUAACUGCACACUAUGUCGAUGAUAACUGGAGAUUGAACAAUAAAAUUCUUGCUUUUUGUGAAUUGAAACCGCCACAUACUGAUGAAGAAAUAGCUAGUAAAAUUCUUAGUUGCUUAAGGGAAUGGGGUCUAGAGAGAAAAGUUUUCUCUAUGACGUUGGAUAAUGCUACAGCUAAUACCAGUAUGCAGAACAUUCUUAAGCAUCGGUUACAGAUGAUCACUAGUAAUGGAUUGCUGUGUGACGGGAAAUUCUUCCAUGUUAGGUGCUGCGCGCAUAUUCUAAAUCUCAUUGUAAAAGAAGGAUUGGAGCUGGCUGCUAGUCUUUUAGAAAACAUUCGUGAGAGUGUGAGAUUUGUCAAAGCAUCUGGAUCAAGGAUAGACUCAUUUGCACAAUGUGUUGAAAGUUUAGGUAUCAAAAGUGGAGCUGGGUUGUCUCUUGAUGUACCAACACGGUGGAACUCAACAUAUGAGAUGCUUGCUAGGGCUUUGAAGUUCCGCAGGGCAUUUGCUAGUUUUAAAGAGUGUGAUAGGAAUUACAAAACACUGCCUUCUGAGGAUGAAUGGGAUCGAGGAGAGAAGAUUUGUGAUUUUUUGAAGCCCUUUAGUACUAUUACCACUUAUUUCUCUGGCGUUAAAUAUCCUACAGCUAAUAUCUACUUUCUACAAGUGUGGAAAAUCGAGUGUUUAUUGAGGAAGUAUGUCAGUUGUGGGGAUAUUGCAAUGGAGGACAUGGCUAGGAAGAUGCAAUCUAAAUUUGCGAAGUAUUGGGAUGACUACAGUAUCACUCUAGCUAUGGGAGCUGUUCUUGAUCCGAGGCUGAAGAUCCAGAUACUUAAAUCAGCUUAUGACAAAGUUGAUCCUAGAACUUCUGAGAAAAAAAUUGCAAUAGUUAAGAAAAAUCUGAAGUUGCUUUAUGAAGAAUAUAAGACCAACUCUUGGACUUCUUCGACUUUUUCAGCAACACCAACUGCAAAUGAGCUUUUUACUGAAUCACCACUAGAAGAUGAUCCUUAUUAUGUAAGUCUUUUUCUAAUCUUUUCUUGUUCAAUAGCAUAUUGUAUCUUUAGCAUAUUUUUCAUGUUUUUAAUAUGUUUUUAUUGUUAUAGGAUCUUUUUGAGCUUGAGAGGAGUAUCCAACCUGGUUUAGACAAUACAAAAUCGAAUUUGGAUAUUUAUUUGGAGGAACCUAGGCUAGAUUUGAGGUCUUUUACUGAUAUUGAAGUUCUAGACUAUUGGAAAAACAACGGGCAACGCUAUGGUGAUUUGGCUUCUCUAGCUAGUGAUUUGCUUAGUAUUCCCAUUACCACAGUAGCUUCGGAGUCUGCGUUUAGUACUGGAGGUCGGGUAUUAAACCCAUAUAGAAACCGCCUUCUUCCAAAAAAUGUCCAGGCAUUGAUUUGCACGCGCAAUUGGUUGCGUGGUUUUGCAGAGCUUGAAGGUAACUCAAAAUUAGCUUAUACAUUCGUUACUUUUAAGUAUAUUAUUAACUCAUUCAUAUCUUCAAUUUUAGGUGAUAUUGAAGAUAACUUUGAUGAUGAAAAUGAGGAUGCUACCACGGCAAGUUGCUCAUGAGUAUAAUUAUGCUAUCAGAUUUCAUUUCAAGAUGAAGACAUGUGAGAUCUUUAUUAGUUUUUGAUAUUUGGAUGAUUUUGUGGUGAGAACAUGAUUAUAUAAUUCAAUUAUUUCGAUCUCUUGGAUCAAGCAAAGCGUUGUUCAAUAGAAGAACUAAAUGACCUUUAUAAGCUAUAAGCUAUAAUUUGAACAUGGAA
rnacentral:lncRNA from 1 species